GACGAACGCUGGCGGCGUGCUUAACACAUGCAAGUCGAACGGAAAGGCCCUGCUUUUGUGGGGUGCUCGAGUGGCGAACGGGUGAGUAACACGUGAGUAACCUGCCCUUGACUUUGGGAUAACUUCAGGAAACUGGGGCUAAUACCGGAUAGGAGCUCCUGCUGCAUGGUGGGGGUCGGAACGUUUCGGCGGUUGGGGAUGGACUCGCGGCUUAUCAGCUUGUUGGUGGGGUAGUGGCUUACCAAGGCUUUGACGGGUAGCCGGCCUGAGAGGGUGACCGGCCACAUUGGGACUGAGAGACGGCCCAGACUGCUACGGGAGGCAGAAGUGGGGAAUAUUGCACAAUGGGCGGGAGCCUGAUGCAGCAACGCCGCGUGCGGGAUGACGGCCUUCGGGUUGUAAACCGCUUUCGCCUGUGACGAAGCGUGAGUGACGGUAAUGGGUAAAGAAGCACCGGCUAACUACGUG
rnacentral:rRNA from 1 species